ensembl:lncRNA
GAACAAUUACACAGUCACUCCAUUAACCCAAUUAGCAAUCCCUGGCAGGAAUUCUGGUAAUCACCAAAGCAGCGCUGUGGGGAAGGUGGGAAAAGGGGACACCCCAUGGGUCGGGGAGACCAAGGGGCUGGGGGCUGGCGACAGGGGAUCGAUGCUGGGACUAAAAGGCUGAGACUAAGUCAGUUAUUUCUAAGCUAAUAAGUGUUAUUUUUAUCAUUUUCUAAAUGUUCUGGAUUUUUUUUAACCAUGCCCCAGAGCAUUGGAUGAACGGCGUUUGCGUUAAUUAAUAAAUCAGAUGACAUCUCCGCUCAGCUGCAGGCUCUGCUGUGGAAACUCUCCCGGUGGCCUGGGAAAUGGUGACUGUGGAUUCCUGAUUGAUUACAGCUGUCGUGUCCUCUGUUAUUCAGUCCAACAAGUCAAUCAGCACAUCCUGAGCGUCUACCUGGCACUCACCUGGUUUUGUGAGGGGAGGGGGAGCGGACAUAGCACGAAGAAGGCAAUGUCUGCAUGCACGACUAACUAUAAUAAGCGGUGUUUACGAUCAAGCCACAAAAUUCUGCUGAGCAGAGAAGGGAUAGGUUAAUUGGGGGCAGCAAUCAGGAAAAGCCACACGGAGGAGCUGGAUCUUGAAGAUAAAGAGGCCACAGGGUGAGGGGACUGGCCUCGGAGCUUCGUGUGGCCACCGGGGCUGCAGGAACCAGGACACUGAUAACCACAGCCUUCAUGGCAGUAAGUGAAGGGAGAAAGGGAGACCUACCAAGCUGAAACAGCUGAACGCACUGGGUGAAUGUGGCAGGACAGGUGGGGAAAGAAUGACUGAUGAGGUGCCUGCCCUGUCUCCUUCCCCAGUCAGCUCUGGGAGCCGUGGUCCCCCAGCUCUACCAGCCUCUUGCUCCAUUGUCACUCUCUCCAUGCGUCAUUGUGCUCUCACCCAGUUUCUCUCCUUUGCUCUUGUCCCCUUCUCACCUUCUCCAGCCUUCCAGGCACUGUGAAAGGGAAAAAUAGUAAAACAUGCAAAGCUUUUGUUUUCAGGACAAAGAUAAGGUGUUCUGUGUCUCAGCUGGGCGUGUCUGGUUGCUCAAGCUCCUGCUAAGCUUUGCGACCUGUUCUGGUCUGUCUUCAGGAUAUGGGGCCGGGAGGGCAGGCCCUGACCCUUGUAACCAAAUACCUCAGACAGGACCAUGCUGACAGUCCUGCUCAGUAAAUAUUUGCUGAUGACCAGCAUGACGACGCUUGGAGAAACUAACCCCCACCAAACUGUUCAGGAAAACAUUCUUCUUUCAUCACUGACCAAUGGAAUUUCUGUAUCCCAGAGAUGUUGUCUCAGGCAUGUGAGUUGAGGCAACAGUGACUACAGCUGAGAGAAGAAGAUACAGAAGAAAGUUGCCCUCCAGGACGAAGGCUAAGCUCUCAAUUCUAGGGGACAAUUCUGGCCCCCGGCCAGCCCAGCACUUCUGUCACGUCUUGCCUGGCGCAUCUGUCUGGCUGUGAAAUGGUUUUCUGCACCUCAUGCUGCCCCCAAGACAGCAGUGGAGGUUUGCCACACCCAUCUCCAUGCUCACCCACGUCCAUGCUACCCUGGGGACCAGGCAUUUUAAAACUCAGAAGCCAAGGCUAACCUUUAGAUGGCGUUACCCAACUCUGGCUACCCCAAGAAGAGAUUCUGUGGGGCCUCUUGCAAAGGACUUCAUUAAACACUUUCAUUUCUGGGCAGAGCUGACUCAUCAUUUACCCC